rnacentral:rRNA from 1 species
GAUGAACGCUGGCGGCGUGCCUAAUACAUGCAAGUCGAGCGAACAGAUGAGGAGCUUUCUCCUCUGACUUUAUCGGCGGACGGGUGAUUAACACGUGUAUAACCUACCUAUACGACUGGGAUAACUUCGGGAAACCGUAUCUAAUACCGGAUAAUAUAUUGAACCGCAUUGUUCACUAGUUAAAUUCGGUUUUUCUUUCACUUAUAGCUUGAUCCGCGCCGCAUUAGCUAGUUGGUAAGGUAACGGCUUACCAAGGCAACGAUGCGUAGCCGACCUGAGAGGGUGAACGGACACACUGGAACGGAGACACGGUACAGACUCGUACGGGAGGAAGCAGUAGGGAAUCUUACGGAAUGGGCGAAAGCGUGACGGAGCAAAGCCGCGUGAGUGAUGAAGGAGUAAGGAUCGGAAAACUAUGUUAUUAGGGAAGAAGAAAAGUGUAAGUAAAUAUGCACGUAUUGACGGUACCUAAUCAGAAAGCCACGGCUAACUACGUG